rnacentral:rRNA from 1 species
CGAGGAAGCUGACUUCGGUCAGUGGAAGGUGGCGGACGGGUGAGUAAUAUGUAGAGAAUCUGCCCUUGAGUGGGGGACAACAGAGGGAAACUUCUGCUAAUACCCCAUAUGAGCUAACUUGAAAUAGUUAUCUUGAAAACUCCGGUGCUCAAGGAUGAGUCUGCAUCUGAUUAGCUAGUUGGCGGUGUAAUGGACCACCAAGGCGACGAUCAGUAGCUGGUUUGAGAGGAUGAUCAGCCACAAUGGGACUGAGACACGGCCCAUACUCCUACGGGAGGCAGCAGUAGGGAAUUUUGCGCAAUGGGCGAAAGCCCUGACGCAGCAACGCCGCGUGAACGAUUAAGCCCUUCGGGGUGUAAAGUUCUGUCAGUAGGGACGAAUUUUGACGGUACCUACAGAGGAAGCACCGGCUAACUCCGUGCCAGCCGCCGC